rnacentral:lncRNA from 1 species
UAUGUAUUAGCUACAACUGACAGGCACCUAAACCUUCAGGUUGUCAAAAGACCUCCUGGAUUUGGUGUUUUCCAACCAUUGUCCUAUGCCUGUGACCCUGUGACCUCCUGAGAUGUCUGUGAUGGGUGAAAAGCAAAACACCCAUCUAGUAAGAGACUAGAUGUCCCCAAGAAUGUGGGCAGGAUGUGGAAACUGCAUCCUGGAAGGUAAAGCAGGAUCAGAUCCCUUGCCAGUUAAGACAGCAAGAGUCACAGAGUUUCAAUGAGACCGAUGACAGAAUCAACUGGCAAAGGCCAGAAACCAGGGUGGGAGAGUGUUCAGCCUAUGAGUAAUCAUGUGGACAGCAGUCUGUUGAGAUGGGUGAUUUCUUUUUAAUUGUCCCAUCCUGGUUCCUUUAUUGAGCCUCGGUUUCCUCAUCAGUACAUUGAAGGGAGUAAUUCCUACCUCGUAGGGUGGCGGUGAGUGUCUGAGGAAGAAAGGUGAGUGGAAGCAUGUUAUAAGUGGUAAAGCUGUAUGUAAAUGUCAUGUGUGAUGAAUAGUGAGAACUUCCUCGGGGGGCAGUUAAGGGAGAAGGGAGGUAGUAGACUUUGAGAAUCUGACCAUCAGGGAGUGAUUCUAGUAACCUAGGGAAGAAGAAUGGACUGUAAUUCUGGGUGGGUGGACAGGAAUGGAGCAGGGUUGCUAGGAAACCAGCCUCAGUCCUGCUGGAAUGAAGGAUGUGAUGAAGAAUGCUAAACGUACAUGAUCAAUUCAGGCUCUUCUGAGCUUCCAGAGACUGAGGGUUACCCCUGCCCUGCCACUGCCAUUGUGUGGCUUUGGCCAGCUAUUUCCUCAGGGAUCUGGAAACACAGAGGCCCUAGGAAUGGCUCCCUUACAGACUGUUCUCCAAGGGCUCAGAGAUGGUGAGUGCCAGUCUCCAGAACAACCCAGCUGAGGUCUCUGUACACUCCACAGGUUGAGGAAGGAGAGCGAGCAUACCUGGGAGCUAAGCCAAACUAUAUUUGGAUGCUGGUUCUGUUGCUUCUUCAUUUUGUGGCCUUGGACAACUCCAUCUCAGCUUCCUCAUCUAUAAAAUGAGACAAAUCAGGUGUGUCUUUUGUUUCAUUGAUGUAAGGAUCAUAUAAGGCCCAGAGCUUAGCUUGGUGGCACAAAAGAGUUAUGCUUACCCUAAAGAAAGAAAAGCGAUUGAAUAUAUUACUGCAUGGGGAACUAGGAAAAACAUGGCU